rnacentral:rRNA from 1 species
UACGUAGGGCGCAAGCGUUAUCCGGAAUUAUUGGCGUAAAGAGCUCGUAGGCGGUUCGUCGCGUCGGCUGUGAAAACGCGAGGCUCAACCUCGCGCCUGCAGUGGGUACGGGCAGACUAGAGUGCGGUAGGGGAGAUUGGAAUUCCUGGUGUAGCGGUGGAAUGCGCAGAUAUCAGGAGGAACACCAAUGGCGAAGGCAGGACUCUGGGCCAUUACUGACACUGAGGAGCGAAAGCGUGGGGAGCGAACAGG